GCAUUUAAACAAAUAUUGAGCAUUUAAAAAUAAAUGGCAAUCUUUUCAUCCGGUCAUUACGGAAAAGAAAACGUAGCCUUGUGUUGUGGUAUUCUAGAGUACUAACAUGGACUGCACUAGAGUAAACUACGAAGUGCUCAGGAGGUUUAUAAUACAGUAUAUACCUCUGCUUUUUGUUGUAUUAAUACCUGUACCGAGGUACAUGUAGGCGUCAUUUAAAGACCUCAGCACAGGCUCGGCCCUUGGUCGAGGGGGACUGGCGAGGAAACUGGCGACCAUUGUGCCAUGGCGCUGAUCACCUUGUAAAUACUGCGGUUUUUAAAUGACCUAAAACUCUAUGCUAAAUGCUAUUGUAUUUACUAA